rnacentral:rRNA from 1 species
GAGUUUGAUCAUGGCUCAGGAUGAACGCUGGCGGCGUGCCUAAUACAUGCAAGUCGAACGAACAGAUAAGGAGCUUGCUCCUUUGACGUUAGCGGCGGACGGGUGAGUAACACGUGGGUAACCUACCUAUAAGACUGGAAUAACUCCGGGAAACCGGGGCUAAUGCCGGAUAACAUGUUGAACCGCAUGGUUCUACAGUGAAAGACGGUCUUGCUGUCACUUAUAGAUGGACCCGCGCCGUAUUAGCUAGUUGGUGGGUAACGGCCUACCAAGGCGACGAUACGUAGCCGACCUGAGAGGGUGAUCGGCCACACUGGAACUGAGACACGGUCCAGACUCCUACGGGAGGCAGCAGUAGGGAAUCUUCGCAAUGGGCGAAAGCCUGACGGAGCAACGCCGCGUGAGUGAUGAAGGUCUUCGGAUCGUAAAGCUCUGUUGUUAGGAGAACAAAUGUGUAAGUAACUGUGCAUAUCUUGACGGUACCUAACCAGAAAGCCACGGCUAACUACGUGCCAGCCG